ACAGUUUUUAAAGUAUCUAGUGUAUAUAAGGACAAGCCAUUCUCAGUCAAGCAUGAAACUGAAUCUGAGGAAAAGAAGAAAGCUGAAAACACACUGAGGAUUAUGGGAGAGGGGCAAGUGCAUGAAGCUUCUCAAUGACAUACAGACACUCUAAAAGCUCAAGAGAUCAAUUAUUCAACUUCAAGAACUGAAAUUUGAACACAGAUUUUGAGCUUCCAAAUCAGGAGAAAAAGAAGUGUUCUAUAAGAAGUUUGGACAAGACUCUGCAAGAAGUUAAGAGGUCCUUAAAGGCAACUGUGAAUUAACGGAGACUAGUUUUGAGA
rnacentral:lncRNA from 10 species